ACACGACUACAUUAGAUACCCGCGUAGUCCUGGCCGUAAACGAUGUGGACUUGGUGUUGGAAUGGCUCCGAGCUGCUCCAGUGCCGAAGGGAAGCUGUUAAGUCCACCGCCUGGGAAGUACGGCCGCAAGACUGAAACUUAAAGGAAUUGGCGGGGGAGCACCGCAACGGGAGGAGCGUGCGGUUCAAUUGGAUUCAACGCCGGACAACUCACCAGGAGCGACGGUUACAUGAAGGCCAGGCUGAUGACCUUGCCUGAUUUUCCG
rnacentral:rRNA from 1 species